UCGAAAUGAGCUCUUGUGCAUGUGAUUCAGAUGUCACUGAGUUUUCUGGUCUCAUUCUUUUCUUGGAAGGAAGGAGGGCUCCAAAACUGGGGAUAGGUUAUCCGUGCUCUGAGUCUGAGAAGGGGAUUUGGGGGAGGCUUAAGGUAGAAACAAAAGAUCUCAGUUUUGCCAUCCAAAUCAACCCAUGGCCAGAUCAGAUUUAGGGUAAAUUGAUUUAAUGGUCAGGAAUGCAUUUGGUGGCCAGUCUUCCAGGGGGCCCAUGAAAGUUCAGGAUUUCUUCUGAAUUUUGUCCUUGGAGGUGUGGGAAGAAUGAAUAUUGAAUAUUCAUACUCAACAUGAAUAUUUUGGAAGCUGGGCCUGAAAGUUAAGGUUCACUGAAAGCUAAAAAUGAGAUGAACUCAGUGAAAGUACUGUGGAAAGAGGCACCUGGCUGGAUAUUUGAAUCUUCUUAACCCUGAGCUCUGCUUCAGUCUCAUCUGUUGUGUUCAUGACAUGACUCUCUAAUCACUAUGGGCAAUUGGGAAAAUGGUUAUUUUCAAAAAGAAAUUGACUUGUCUCUUCGUAGUUUAAUGUAGAAGCAGGUAUAGUUUGGUUAUGGUGAAAUCUGGUAAGUUGGUCUUUGUGAUAAUACAUACCUUUUGGUUUCAGAAAACAUUGUAUACUUAUUUUCUAUAUGACUAAUUUUCCGAGCACUUUUCAUUCUAGAUAAUUUAUCUUCAUCCCCUAAAAUUCCAGCAGAAACAAUUCUUCCUAUUUAAGAUAUCUUAGCAACUGGUACCCAAUUUAUCUAAUGUAUUCCCUUAGCCUCUAGGAGAAAUUAAAAAUAAUCUGUGGAGUACUGAGUAUAGUCUAAUAGCAGAAGGGUACCAUAGCCCAUUGUUUCUAACUAUUUGCAUCAUUUUUGGCAGGUCCAAUGACGGCAUCCACAGAUGAGGCCAAAGCUUGAAUGCCCUUGGAGCCUAUACUGCUUUUAGGCCCUGGCAGAAACAUGGUUUUUAAAUCACAUUCCAAAGUGCAAUUACCAACAAUGAAUAAAUACAUCAUAACAAUGGGGGAAGCAGAAAAUGACUUUAGAAAGACAGAGUGAUCUUUUGAGACACAGUCUAUAUAAUUCCUAGGAAGCCCUGAUAGUAUCUUCUUGGGAAAUCUCCCUGCUGCAGGAAACUGCCUUCCUAGAUUUUACCUCACUGCCUCUAGUUGCAGUUACUUCAGGUAAACAGACCUCCUUUUAACUGUGACUCUUCCUCAGAGAACCAAAAUAUGCUUUGUUUUUUCUUGGGCCCUAUAGGAUCCUGGUUUGGGAUAAAUCUCAUAUGUCUAUUUUCCAAAGAUCAUUUUGGUUUCUCUGUAUUUGUAAAUGCACUUGAUUGUAAUCACAAAAGAAAAGACAGUGAUGCACUGUGUUGGCUCUGAAGAAAAACAUUGACCAGACAGAAAGUCUUCCCCAUAGCCAAACUGAGCUGUAAUGACCGUGCUUUUCAUUUCUCCCAGGAAAUAGUAAUAUAAUUGGUCACUGUAUUACAGUAAACAGUUUGUUCAUUCUUUGUUCAGUAGAAAAUGUUUGGGAGAUAUGUCUCACAUAAUAUGCUGGCUUCACGAUAAUAAAGACUGGGAAUAGAUUUGUUUCUAAAUAAAUCUCAAUAAAUACAUUGGUAAAAUGAACACAGUAGGAAGAAUAAACAAUGCAAUUAGGAAUAUCUUAAGUACAUUUACAUGUGAUAAUUUGCAAGUGAUCAUUACAUUAAGACAUGUCUUGGGCUGAUUUUCUCAAGGGCAUUUGUGUGAAAAAUGAACAUUUCUGAAUUAGAAUUUUUGUCAUGGAAUAGAAACAAGAGGUAAGAACAUGUUUUCGAAUAUGCAGUAAAAAGAUCACCUGCUCCUCUGAAGACCUAACACUGACAUUCAUCUUAGUACAUAAAAGAGAAAAUAUGCUGAGGAUGGGCAAUGUAGGAGUAGGAACUAUAACAGCAACAGCUGCAGAGGUGACUGUAAUUCUAAUGGAUUGCUUGUAGUGACAUCGGCAUGCUUCUGAAUUUGGCGGGAAAGUAAUGCACAGAAUUAAGACAGCAGCAUUAGUGUUGUGUUUUCUUAUUAGAAAACCUCAACAGCUCAUUGAAUGCAGGAAAAUUUUAGAGAUUCUAUUUUGCAAGAAGCCAAUGUAGUGGCUGCAAAAGUAAUAACACCAAAAUGGAAUGCACUAGGGAAUGUAAGCAGCACAGGUUGGUACAUUAGUUUGAGUUAUUCAGCCAGUCCCGAAAAGGGUAAUAUCCCAUUUGAAUGACAGGCAAAGGAAUUCAGAAGGAUAACAGUCAUUUUCUUUAUUGUUGUUAUUGUUCUAGUUGCUUGUUUGUCAUUUUUUUAUUAGCUAUAUUAAGCUAAGGCAGCUUUUAAAAACUUAUUUUGAAUAUCCUUUUAUACAAUUGUAAAUCUGCACCCUUUCAUUCAUGCAUUUUAAAAGUUAUAUUCUGCAUGUUGAACAACCUGCUCAAAGCAGAGAAAAGUAACUUGUCCUUUAACUGGUAAGCCCAUUGUAAGGCAUCCUUGCACAUUUAACUGGAAAAUAUAUCUAAACAGCACUUGAUAAAAUUACAAGAAGUUGUAUUUAAAUUUAAUUUUCUCUGCAAGUACAGUUAGCAUCAUUUUUUACCCCCACUGGUCUCUAACAUACUAUUUUUGAGGAAGAAAAAAAUGUUUUUGCUACCAUGGCAACAGUAUCCUUCUCUUGCUUUCCAUCACAAACUAUAGUUUCUGAGCAUAACUAGGGAAAUUGAAAUGUGGGUAGCUCAAAAUGAUAAGGCCAAGCAUGGUAAGCAUUCAUCUAAAUGAAUAUUUGUGUCAUUGUUCUUGCACUCGUGGUAAGACUAGAACUUUCAAGGUCAACAUAUUUGUUCAUCGUGUUCACAGUGGCACUCAUAAAAGAUUAUUGCCACUUAUUGGGCAACUACUCUCUUCACUAAAUAUCUUAUUAGCAUGAUUUUCCAAAGAUGAUAGGAAAUUAAAACACUCCAUAGUACAGUUUAUUUUGUGGUUUUGAGGAAAUGUAAUACAAAGAAAGGGCACAUAUUCUAGUGAAUUUUAUAAAAGAAAUGAUCUGCUACUUGACCUGGAGUGUGUGCUGGGGGUGUGGGGGGAGGAAAUAGCAAAGGCUUAUAGAGAAACUGAUUGAGCUCAUUCUGUUAUUUGUUUCAGGGGUGACUCCAGGAUGGUGCCUCUCUUUGUGAUGUUCUCGCAAUAACAAUAUUCUUUUUAUUUUCCUUGAUCUUUCACAGCCUGUGGAUAUUUCAGCUUGCAAGGUUAAAUAAUGUUUUUGCUCCAUGGCCAGUUUUUAAAAUCCUCCCUGGCUCUGCUAUGACACUAGAUUAAAAAAACAACAAAACAGCCUUUGUUUCCCAUUGCUUGUGCUUCACAUUUCCUCUCUCUUCAGUUUUUCCUUAAUCUCUGUCCACAUUGACUUUGAUCCUUGAACUCUUUUGCCUAACCUUAUUUGGAUGGGCAAUCAGAUUUCAAACUGGCCAACCAGCCUGACCUUGGCACUUCCCCCAGGGAAUUGCACUGUGAUGCCACAUAGCACACCUACUAGAGGCGAUCUUGGGGAUACUACCGUGUCUUGUUCAGACAUUAAGGACUUCACCUGCUGACAUCCUCUGUGCUCUCUUGGUUCAGCCUGUCUAUGCAGGAGCAUAGAAAAAUGUCCUGUGGGUCAAAGACUGACCUGGACCUCACAGGAGAUUUGCUUUCUUGAGUAGAUGGCUAUAUAUUUUUCUGCCUUGUCAAGAACACAUCUUACCACAUUUGGCAAAUUCAAGACUGCUUCACAGACAAAACUGAUGAACCAGGAGUAAACUGGAGUUUACACUCUUGCCCUUCACUCUACUUUGGUUUCAAAAUAAUUAUUCAAUUCCACCUUCAUAUGAUUACAUGUCCAGGAAAUAUAUUUUUUGUUUUUAACUCUUGAAUUGAUUCUCUGUGUCAGAAAUAAAGGGGUGCAGAAUGCUGGUUUGAGAGUUUUGGUUAUAUGGCAGCAGGAAUUGGCUCUUUACAUGGCUCUUUUAAUGGGCCUAGUUAGAGCCUUAGGAAAGGCUUUGUAGUGCCAAAACACCCUGGCUUUGGGUCACAUUUUCAAAACUUUAAGUGCCAUCUCUAUCACUUACUAGGUCUAUCAC
rnacentral:lncRNA from 1 species